GGUGGCUCAGUGGUAGAGUGCUUGCCUCGCAUGCAUACAGCCCUGAGUUUGAUUUCUCAGCACCA
rnacentral:tRNA from 1 species